CUGGCUCAGGAUGAACGCUGGCGGCGUGCUUAACACAUGCAAGUCGAACGAAGCAACUUAUUACGAUCCCUUCGGGGUGACGAUUU
rnacentral:rRNA from 1 species